AUUAAGCUGACGGGCCCCGAAUAGGGCGAAACCCGCGUCUUGGAU
rnacentral:hammerhead_ribozyme from 1 species